AUCUUGGCAAAAUGGGACGUUAUUCAGAUAGUGAUGAUGAUUAUGAUCUGAAGAAAUCAAAGAAAAAGAAGAGGAGAAAGUCUAGGUCCAGAUCAAGAUCGGCCAGCAGUGGAAGCAGCAGAUACUCCAGUAAGCAUAAAAAGUCGAAGAAGGCGAAGCACAAGAAAAGAUCUCGCGAGUCGAUCAAGAGACCGUGCUUUAAGAAGGUCAAGGUCAAGAAGUAGAGGUCGGAGGUCAAGAAGCAGGGAUAGAAAGAGAUCUAGGUCGUGG